UCUUUUUGCAUUAAAAGGCGGUUCCAAAGCGUCGGUCUUGAAUGGCCUGCCGGGGUAUAGGCUAGUGGUGGGGCAAUGGCCUUACCAAGGCAACGAUGCAUAGCGGGACUGAGAGGUUGAUCGGCCACAUUGGGACUGAGACACGGCCCAACUCCUACGAGAGACAGCAGUUAGGAAUAUUCGUCAAUGGGGGAAACCCUGAACGAGCAAUGCCGCGUGAGUGAUGAAGGUCUUUUGGAUUGUAAAACUCUGUUGUAUGGGAAGAACGGCCAAACUAGGAAAUGAGUUUGAAGUGACGGUACCAUGCCAGAAAGCUCCGGCUAACUACGUGCCAGCAGCCGCGGUAAUACGUAGGGAGCAAGCGUUAUCCGGAUUUAUUGGGCGUAAAGGGUGCGUAGGCGGCUUGUUAAGUAUGAAAUUAAAGCCCGGGGCUUAACUCCGGUUUGUUUCAUAAACUGGCAGGCUUGAGUAUGGAAGAGGUAAACGGAAUUUCUAGUGUAGCGGUGGAAUGCGUAGAUAUUAGAAGGAACACCAGUGGCGAAGGCGGUUUACUGGGCCAUUACUGACGCUGAGGCACGAAAGCGUGGGGAGCAAAUAGGAUUAGAUACCCUAGUAGUCCACGCCGUAAACGAUGAGUACUAAGUGUUGGGGUUUCCCCAGUGCUGAAGUUAACAUAU
rnacentral:rRNA from 1 species